GGUUUGUAGCUCAGUGGUAGAGCUCUUGCCUAGCACAUGUGAAGCACUGGGUUCAAUCCUCAGCACCA
rnacentral:tRNA from 1 species